rnacentral:lncRNA from 1 species
AAAAAGUAACUAAUAUGUUGAAUUUUUCUAUGUUAUUGUUGUAUGAAUUGACUCUUUUUUUUUCUUAAAAAGAAAAACAAAUAUUUAGUUUCACCAAAAUAAUAAAUCUAAAAGUAAAUCCGAAUACGGAUGGAUUUGAAUGAAAGUACAAGACCCGAGAAAUGGGUUUGAAUAAAAAAAAAGGCCCUUUAAUAUAUAGGUUGGGUUGGG